rnacentral:rRNA from 1 species
GAUCCGGCUGGGUGGUCUUGCCCUACGGGUAAGCACUGCCUCUGGUUGGAUUUAUUUACCUUCUGGGGAUCCGUCGUGCUCUUAACUGAGUUGCGGCGGGGAACCAGGACUUUUACUUUGAAAAAAUUAGAGUGUUUAAAGCAGGCAUACGCUUGAAUACAUUAGCAUGGAAUAAUAGAA